GAUGAACGCUGGCGGCGUGCCUAAUACAUGCCAGUCGAGCGAACGGACGAGAAGCUUGUUCCUCUGAUGUUAGCGGCGGACGGGUGAGUAACACGUGGAUAACCUACUUAUAAGACUGGGAUAAUUUCGGGAAACCGUAGCUAAUACCGGAUAAUAUUUUGAACCGCAUGGUUCAAAAGUGAAAGACGGUCUUGCUGUCACUUAUAGAUGGAUCCGCGCUGCAUUAGCUAGUUGGUAAGGUAACGGCUUACCAAGGCAACGAUGCAUAGCCGACCUGAGAGGGUGAUCGGCCACACUGGAACUGAGACACGGUCCAGACUCCUACGGGAGGCAGCAGUAGGGAAUCUUCCGCAAUGGGCGAAAGCCUGACGGAGCAACGCCGCGUGAGUGAUGAAGGUCUUCGGAUCGUAAAGCUCUGUUAUUAGGGAAGAACAGAUGUGUAAGUAACUGUGCACAUCUUGACGGUACCUAAUCAGAAAGCCACGGCUAACUACGUG
rnacentral:rRNA from 1 species